GACGAACGCUGGCGGCGUGCUUAACACAUGCAAGUCGAACGGAAAGGCCCUGCUUUUGUGGGGUGCUCGAGUGGCGAACGGGUGAGUAACACGUGAGUAACCUGCCCUUGACUUUGGGAUAACUUCAGGAAACUGGGGCUAAUACCGGAUAGGAGCUCCUGCUGCAUGGUGGGGGUUGGAAAGUUUCGGCGGUUGGGGAUGGACUCGCGGCUUAUCAGCUUGAUGGUGGGGUAGUGGCUUACCAAGGCUUUGACGGGUAGCCGGCCUGAGAGGGUGACCGGCCACAUUGGGACUGAGAGACGGCGCAGACUCCUACGGGAGGCAGCAGUGGGGAAUAUUGCACAAUGGGCGGAAGCCAGAUGCAGCAACGCCGCGUGCGUGAUGACGGCCUUCGGGUUGUAAACCGCUUUCGCCUGUGACAAAGCGUGAGUGACGGUAAUGGGUAAAGAAGCACCGGCUAACUACGUG
rnacentral:rRNA from 1 species